ensembl:lncRNA
GUUAUAUAACUCUUGUCUUUGAAAAGCAUCGUAGUGGAACAUUUCAUGCUGCUUUGGAGAUUCAUGGGUGUUUCGCAUAGUUUCGCAAAGACUCAUAAGGAGGUACAGGAGCAAUCCACUUCUGAGAGAGUUUGUAAAUGAGAACUGAAAAGAAAAUGAGUGGAAUGUUUUAACAGUGAACAGUAUGACGUCAUCUAUUUGGAGAUUAAAUAUGCAGAGGAGUAAGAUUUCCCUAAUGGAAACUAAAGUGGGAACAGGUGAGCCCUUUCAAAGCCAGCAAGGGCACAGUGAUUAGGCAGGCAGCUGUCCAUGAUAACCUUCCUGAUAACCCGGAUGUAUCCCCACUACUCCAACUUAACACACCCUGCACAGGACAAUAUCAUCACAAAAAAAUCUUCAAAAAUGGUUCUCUCACCAAAAACCAUCGGGGCUAUUGGAUUUCAAGCAUAAUUUGGGCAGAUCUGGCCUCAGGCUCUCGUGGCAUCUGCAGCGGUUCAUUCUUCAAGAUGGAAGAGAGGAAGGAAGGAAGGCUGAAGAAUCACUGAGCAGACGCGUAACGCAGAGCACACACUCUCCCAAAGGAAAGAUAAGACUGCUCUGGGACAGUGCGCUGGAGGGAGUCCUGUCCUUUGACGAAAAGCUGUUUUGUAAAUGGAUCUGCUCUUUUCAAGCGUGAAGAAUUUCAGAGCCACCUUUGUUUCACUACUGCUGGCUUAUGCUCAGAAUCCACUGAGUGUGCCCUCGAAAUCAAAUUAAAGGCCAUAAUGCAUGAGCUGACAUGUUUUUCAGCAAAGUUCAAUUAUAGUCACUGAUCACACAUUACACAGACAGGAGAUGUUUUUAAAUUAUAAUUUAAACUAAUGAAUAAAGUUUAUGUUUAUUAUCCA